UUCCUAGGAACUUAUUUCAUAGAAAAGGG
rnacentral:piRNA from 1 species